rnacentral:lncRNA from 1 species
ACAUCUUUACCUGCUGAGCCAUCUUAUUGGUUCCCACGGUUUUGUUUUUGGUUUUUUAAUGUAAGCACAAUUACAAAGCUGAAUAGAUGAAUUAGUAUGCAGAAAUGCUUUUUCACUAAGGAUUUUCAUUAAAGCAUAAUAGUAAAAUAAAAAGAAGCAAUAAAUUGCUUUUGGCCUAAGUGCUUAGGAGCAUGAACAAAACUUUGGAUGUAUAAACCUUUUGCAUAUCUAAUUCUGGAUUUAAAAGAAGAGAGAGGAGGAAAAAUGAAUUUUGAAAACUUCUAGAGAAUAUAAAUCUAUAAAGGAAUGAAGAAAAGACUUAUUUGGAAAUUAUAAUUUAUAUUUGCCUAAAGGAGAAGAGGUACAAUAAUGAAAUCCAACAAAAAGAACUUAACAAAUGACAGAGAGUAGCUACAGAGCCUAUAUGACUAAAUGAGAAGGGUUAAUAUUACCUAUAGGAAAGAGAUAUUUUAAAGUGGAAACUUAAUCAUUCGAUAGCUAUAAAGAUUUGUUUUUAAAAACUGGAAUGAUACUGGUAGUCUUGUAAGUAUAGACAAUUUACAAUAAUAUAUAAUCCUAGGAGUCCACAAUUCUAUGAUUCUUUUGUUUUAAAAUUUAAAAUAUAUUGAAUUUUUACUGAUUGGUCAUAGAAAAUGUUUACUUUUAAACUAGGAUAACAAUCUUAAUUUUCUAAGAUAUUUAUUAUUUUUAAAAGGAUUUCUUUAAAGGUAUCUGAAGUAUAGCAACUCCAUUUAAAGAAGCUUCAGUGUCAGAGUCUAAAAAACAAAUAUACCCAAGAAAACUUCAUAAAUACAGUGUAUGCAAUCUCAUAGAGGAGACAAAUACUUUUUAAAUUUUAUUCACACACAAAGAUCUUCUGUCUUUAACAUUUGCUUUAUCUAUGCUGUAGAACAUGUUCUUAUACAGAUAAGCCCUUCUCUAUUAGGUAAGCAUGAACAAUUGGUCUACUGAACUAGCUAAGAAUGUGGAUGUUCCCUCAUAUACUAUAUUGAAUAAAAUCCUCUCCAGUAACCAAGUACAGGUUACAAAUAAUUAUAUGAAUAAAUCAAAUAUAUUUUCUACUCUGAUAAAUGUCAACUUUUAUUGUAUAAUUCAGACAAAAGAUUUAAUCUUUCUUACAAAGAAAUCAGUGGGCAGGAGUAGGGAGUAACUCAGCCAGGGGUGUUUGCUGAACCUGUGUGAGAGGAUAGCACCCACUGCACUGCAAAACAAACAACAAAACAAACACUGAUAUUUCCCUGAAUAAAAUCCUGCUCAUUCAAUCCAAGGAUGUCACAAAUGAAUUAAUAUUGUACAUAUAAUGAAAUUUGUAAAACCCACAAUGUUUAAAACUUUUGUUUUUAAUAAAUCAGAGUGAUUUAAAUAACCUUGCAUUAAGGCUGCAAAAUUUAAAUAAAUUUCAAAUAAAGCUGAAAGCUAUCGAAGUCAUGCUAGUCAGCAUGGCCAGUGCCAAGGUUGAAAAGUACUUACUUCAAAAUCAGUGUCCUAGCUCCUGAGUUACCAUACCCAUUUUCUGUAAUAAUAACCCAAGAUGAGUUUUUUGAAAAUAAAUUUAUCUUUAAAUGUUAUUUUAACCACCAUAGUCCCUAAUAUCUUGUAACCUGUUUUUAUUUUAAUACCCAAAAGAUUUCAAAUAAGAUAUCUUGUUUAUUACUCAAGAUAUAAAUUAAUGAGAUAAUUAGUGUUAAAAUUUAAAAUGUUCUUAAAUUUGGGAUUUUUCAGAAAUGACAAUCUGUUUAUAAGGAGCAAAAUUAACCUUCAUUAGUGUAAAGCAAGAGUAUAAGACGUUUGCAUGAAAUAUUUCACAUCAUGUAAGCUUUCCCAUAUCCAUAACAUUGACUCUAUAUAGAAAUCUUACUUGCUGUGUGAUCUCGCCAUUAGGAAUGAAGGAGGCUGUUACAUGCACUGGAUCUCCUUUCCAUACUGAAGCGCAUGGCUUUGUUCCUCAAAUUUAUUUUUACAUCUCUCAGAUGGAGUUAUUUAAUAAUCUGCCACAAUUGAACUGAAGCUUAAAUGACCUGCUGAUUCGGAUAAUUUCUUUGAUUGCUCUACAUUUGCUGAGAACUUAUUUUUAUUUUAACUUCUGCACAUAAUCAGUCUCUGCUCAGUAUACCUCUCUAAUGAGACCGUUGAGAAGUAAAUUUGAUGCUUCUUAGUGUGGAUGUAUGCUUAUUUUUUUUCAAAAAAAUAAUUUUUUUUUACAUUUUAUUUUAUUUAUUUAUUGUUAUUUUUUUAGACAGAGUUUCUCUGUAUACUCCUGGCUGUCCUGAAACUCACUUAGAACAGGCUGGCCUCAAAUUUGCAGAGAUCCAUCUGCCUUUCCAAAAAAGUCUUUAUCAGAGAACUAUGAAGUUAAGGGAAAUAACACUGUUGUGUUGACAAAUCUUUAUCUUGUAAGGGAGAAACAGAAGGAAUCAUUGGGUUCAUAGCUAUGACUAUGUGUCAUAUCAGAGGAAAUACUUUUUAAUUUUCUUGCCACAAAACUUUUAAGCUCAAUGGUUUGACUGUUAGAGUCAAUUAACAAUUUUUGAAAAUAUUUUAUGACUUUUUUGUAAUAUAUUCAGUGUCUUUAUUUGCAUGGCUAUGCAUAUAUGAAGAUGUGACUCUGACGUUGUGAUUCUUUCCCAUGUUAAAAUUUGUGUUGUGUGUGGUCAAACCUAAUUUUUACACUGUAUGAUUAUCCUUGUAAUGAUUCAGUUAUUCCAGCCUUUGUUAUUAUGCCUUCGGGGAGUAAACAAUGUGAAGUGUUUCUAUCUAAUAAUAAUAAUACCAUGAAAACAUGACUGAAAAACUAAUUUAAGAAAUGCCUUUCUUGCUAAUUAUUUUUGAAAUCCAAACAUCAGCGACAUUAUCAAAGACACGUGCAUUUAAGUACAAAAAGUUCUUAUAAAUUUAUUGCUUGCUGUUCUUUUUACUUUUUUGUAGAUAAUCCCAAGUGAACCUCUCAAGGGAGAAUCCUUAUGUCAUAUGUUUGUUUCUGUGCACUCAAUAUUUGUGAAAGGCACCCCACUGCUAAGGAAAUAACUAGAUACUAAUAAUUAUUAUCUUGGUUAAUCUUACCAAUUGACCAUACUGUAUUGCAAAACUUUUUCCAGUAAAUAAACUGAUUAUCUUUUGUUU